AUUCCAGCUCCAAUAGCGUAUAUUAAAGUUGUUGCAGUUAAAACGCUCGUAGUCGGAUUUCGGGGCCUGCCUGCCGGUCUGCCGAUGGGUAUGCACUGGCAGGCGCGUCCUUCCUUCCGGAGACUGUCCCUACUCUUAACUGAGCGGGGUCGGGAGACGGAUCGUUUACUUUGAAAAAAUCAGAGUGUUUCAAGCAGGCAGCUCGCUCUUGCAUGGAUUAGCAUGGGAUAAUGAAAUAGGACUCUGGUGCUAUUUUGUUGGUUUCGAACACCGGAGUAAUGAUUAACAGGGACAGUCAGGGGCACUCGUAUUCCGUCGAGAGAGGUGAAAUUCUCAGACCAAUGGAAGACGAACCACUGCGAAAGCAUUUGCCAGGGAUGUUUUCAUCA
rnacentral:rRNA from 1 species